UAUCAAUCACUGUGAAACAGAAUGGGAAGGUUGUACAUUUGAGCAGCUUUUUCACUGGUUUUGCAUUCAAUGAUGAGGCUCUCAGAACCAAUACUAGACAUGGAAAUGGCAAACUACAGUGAAGUUUUAGAUCCGACGUAUACGGCACUGGAGUUUGAAACUAUGCAGAUUCUGUAUAAUGGCAAUGAGAGUUCAGGAGAAGCUGUCAACAUGAAUGCUGCUGACAAUGGGGUCAGUAGUCUCUGUGCAAUAUGUGGAGACCGAGCGACUGGAAAACAUUACGGUGCUUCCAGCUGUGAUGGAUGCAAGGGGUUUUUUAGACGCAGCAUAAGGAAAAACCACGUCUACUCGUGCAGAUUCAGCCGACAAUGUAUCGUUGACAAGGACAAAAGGAAUCAAUGCAGAUAUUGUCGUUUAAAAAAGUGUUUUCGAGCAGGAAUGAAAAAAGAAGCUGUACAAAAUGAACGGGACAGGAUAAGUACAAGAAGAAACACCUUUGAUGGCUGCAACAUUCCUUCUAUUAGCACAUUGUCACAAGCUGAGACACUCUCCCGUCAGAUCUCAAUGUCCAGUCCUGGUUCUAGCACUGAUAUAAAUGUUAAGAAAAUUGCUGGUGUUAGUGAUGUCUGUGAAUCUAUGAAGCAACAACUUCUGGUCCUGGUGGAAUGGGCUAAAUAUAUUCCAGGCUUCUGUGAAUUACCACUGGAUGACCAGGUUGCCCUGCUAAGAGCACAUGCUGGGGAACACCUGUUGCUUGGAGCAGCAAAACGGUCCAUGGCGUAUAAGGACAUUUUACUUUUAGGCAACAAUUACAUAAUCCAUCGCAACAGUACUGAAGUAGAGAUCUGCCGAGUGGCGAAUCGCAUUCUGGAUGAAUUAGUUCGACCCUUCCAGGAAAUUCAAAUAGACGACAAUGAGUACGCUUGCUUGAAAGCAAUUGUGUUUUUUGAUCCAGAUGCAAAAGGCCUGAGUAACCCAAUGAAGAUUAAGAAUAUGCGGUUCCAAGUCCAAAUCAGUUUAGAGGAUUAUAUUAAUGACCGUCAGUACGACUCCAGAGGAAGAUUUGGAGAACUACUUCUUCUACUGCCUACACUCCAGAGCAUCACUUGGCAAAUGAUUGAGCAAAUACAAUUGGUUAAACUAUUUGGAAUUGUUAAAAUUGACAGUUUGCUUCAGGAGAUGUUACUAGGAGGUACUUCUAAUGAUGCCAGUCAUCUGCAUCACCCAAUGCAUCCUCACUUAGCCCAAGAUCCAUUAACUGGCCAAACAAUCCUCAUAAGUUCAAUGUCUGCUCCUGUACAUACAGAACAGAUUUCAACUCCAGAAACUCCAUUACCUUCCCCUCCUCAAGGCUCUGGGCAAGAAUACAAAAUGUCUGCAAAUCAGGCUUCAGUCAUUGCACAGCAGUCUAUUUUGAAACAAAAACCAUUGUGAUGAUGUUUCUGUCUCUGUCUUAAUCCACCCUUCCUUCCUUUCUUCCUUCCUUCCUUCCUUCCUUUUUAUGCACUAGAUAAAUUGGUAGGACACUUGCACAUUUAAAAUCUCAGGUUGAUAAACGAAAUUAUUUCCUCAGCAGCCGCUGCUGUGGGUGUUCCUUUAAACACCUCACAAUCUGAAAAGUAGUGCUGUUCUGACUGCCACAUACAACUGUAACUGUGGACACUGAAGUCUGACAAAUAUGUAUAGAGGUUCAUAUUAUUUUUAGAUCUUAUAACUGCACAGAUUCAUGUUUUUAUUUCCUGUUUCAGUUGUUGUCUUAAUAUUAUCAUUUUAGAUGUGUAUAUAUAUUUCUUUUUGUGACAGAACUGGUUAGUGCUUGUUUAGUUGUGAAUUGUAGAGAAGAAAAAGUGGGUUAAUCAGGCAAAAGCCAAAGUUCCACUAAUAAUAAACCAGUAGGCUACCAAAAAAGCACAUGAAUUAAAAAAAAAAGGACGGAAAUGCACAACUCAUUUAAAAAAAUAUUGAUUUGAAAGGACCAUCUCUUUCAAGUAAUAGUGUUGAAUCCUUCCUGCUCAUCUGUUUGUAUGAGUCAGAGGGCCUGCCGUGAGUGAAUAUGCUUGAGGGCUUUUUAAAAUCUGUGUAGACAGUGAUGCCUGUAUCAGUCAAUUGGAUAGUGCCAAAGCAUUUACAUUGCUAAAUAGUUAAAACAAGGACUGGUAUGUUUUUUGGUCAGGACUAACUAGUACUCUCCCCAAAAAUUUAUGGGCACACUUUGGCCAGUCUAUGGACACUUUUCACCAGGAGUUUUGAAUACAGCCCCCCUCUUCAGGGGGCAGAGAGGAAUACAGACAGACUGUACCAUUUGACCUCAGGAAUGGAGUAUAGACUUUGUGCUGUUUGAUUUACUUGUGUAAGUGUAGCCUUUGGGUUUAUUUACCUAACUGGCUGGUGAAUGCAUGUUUCAGCAAUCACUAAACUUCACCUACAGAGAUGUUGUAGUUAAUGUAGCAGCUCUGUCUGGAAAGGUAUGGCUAACUAAUUGAAGUGGCAUAUGUGCCUGAGUUCAGCUCCAGGUGUUCCUAGUUUGAGCCAUGGUAUUUCAAGCCAGAAGACAGCCAACCCACAAAGUAUUCAUCCUCUCAAUUUUUAAGAGUUUUCAGAAGCUUGGGAUGAAUCAAUUUUCUGUGAUGAACCCCCACCUCCUCUUCCUCCCAUUACAGUCUGGGAGGAUCCAACAUUGACUAAGUUUUGUGUCUGAAGUCUAUAACAGCUCAUCUGGAUUUGGACCCUCUGUGGAUUUGCACAAAGUGGACCUUGUGACACAUGCUCACUUGGGCAUGUACACUCAGUUACAAUUUGUGAAAAUAAUCUAAUAUGUUAAGUGAUAUGUUGUUCCUACAAUACUGACAUCAUAAGAAAAUUACCACUUUGCACAUUUUAUUUAUUCCGGACAGCAAUGAUUUUUCUUUAGUACUUUAAAGUAGACUUUCUUCUCAGAAGAUAUUUAAGAGAGAAACAGAUGAAAAAGAUAUAAUAAAAUAUUGCAGUUUGCUGAACUAUUGCAAAGAGAAAAUAGUCAGAGUCAGAAAUUCUGAGUCAGAAUUUCUGCAAGGUGAGAUUGAUCAUCCUGAACAACACCUUCACUAAUCACAACAUCCAAAGAUGGUGUAGUUACACCUCUGGCUUGUAAAAGUUGCUCAAACAAUCUGCAAUGAUUCUUCAAAUACAUUUUUGUAGGCAGGAAAUGCAACACAUUAAAUGCUGAGCUAACCUGAACAUUCAAAAGGCUUUAAUGAGAAUACACUACUACCAGGUAGAUGCUGUGUUUCUUAUUAUUUUAAAGUAGUUGCUUUUGUAAAGUCCAUGCAGUGGCUCUUAACAUUUACCUUUUGCUUUAUAGAUGGUUUUUCUUUUUGCUGUUUACUGUUUGUUUUUUUAUCAAGGCAUUACUCUUUUUGCAAGUUCCUUUUAGCAUGAGUUUUUAUGACAGAAUAAGGUUCUGAAGUUUUGCCAUUAACUUCAGGGGUAUCCAGAACGUGCUAUUUUUACAAGUUCACCACCAACACUUUAUGGUGAAACACAGAGGUAAAGCAUGUGUGAGAGAUACUGAGCAACCCAAAAGUUUACUGAUUGGGCUCACUUUUGUGUACUUGUCAUAGAAAGAGUGUUGGACUCAAGGUGGAUCUACAUGAAUUUAAUGGGUCAGAUUAAUGAAGUUAGUUGCAUAAACGUGGCAGUAUCGGUCUGACUAAAAACAUUUAACUGGAAAUAAAAAGUAGUCCCCAAGUUGGCUACCCUUGCCUUAUAUAAGAGAUAUGCAUAAUAGCUUAAUGGAUUUAUUUUUCACACUGUACUUUAGAUAUCAAGUGUACAAUAAAAUAUUUUCACACACUGCCAAAAUGUACUGGAGGAAAGAUAUACUUUAGUGUUUUGUCUGACAAAACGUUGUUAUCUAUUUUGUAUGAUAUAUUACAUUUUGGAAUAAGAACACCACUGUAAUUUAUUGGGAAAAGCUGAUUUAUUUUAUAAAUGUAGCAUUAUUUUUUUAAACUUAAUUAUGAAAAAUCAGAAAUGAUUAACUUUGUUAAAUAUUAAAUUAUAAUGAGGUGUAACUUUAUAUGUUUGAACUCUGAUACCAAGUUUUUGUGUUGAGCAUUUGGAAUUGAAAUGGUUGCUGAAAAUAUUUCAAAUGGACUGUUUUUCAUCAAAACUUAAUAAAGAAAAAUGAAUGAUCCAAAUGACA